rnacentral:rRNA from 1 species
UACGUAGGGUGCAAGCGUUGUCCGGAAUUAUUGGGCGUAAAGAGCUCGUAGGCGGUCUGUCACGUCGGCUGUGAAAACCUGGGGCUCAACUCCGGGCCUGCAGCCGAUACGGGCAGACUAGAGUUCGGCAGGGGAGACUGGAAUUCCUGGUGUAGCGGUGAAAUGCGCAGAUAUCAGGAGGAACACCGGUGGCGAAGGCGGCCCGCUGGGCAGAGACUGACGCUGAGGCGCGACAGCGUGGGGAGCAAACAGG